rnacentral:rRNA from 1 species
UAGAGGAAGUAAAAGUCGUAACAAGGUUUCCGUAGGUGAACCUGCGGAAGGAUCAUUAUAGAAUAAACCCAAAGCUCAGACUGUUGCUGGCUCUUAGGAGUAAUUGUGCACGUCUAGCGUGUUUUUCUUUAACCCACCUGUGAACCUUUUGUAGAUUUGAAAAACAUCACCUUGUCGAUAACAUUCGGUUAGAAGAUUGCAAUGCGCAAGUUUGCUCUCUUUGAAUGUUUUUCAAUCUAUGUAUUUAUUAUAAACUCUAAAAACAAACAUAGAAUGUAUAACUAUUGGCCUUUGGUGCCUUUAAUCUAAAAUACAACUUUCAACAACGGAUCUCUUGGCUCUCGCAUCGAUGAAGAACGCAGCGAAAUGCGAUAAGUAAUGUGAAUUGCAGAAUUCAGUGAAUCAUCGAAUCUUUGAACGCACCUUGCGCUCCUUGGUAUUCCGAGGAGCAUGCCUGUUUGAGUGUCAUUAAAUUAAAUCAAACCUUUGUUGUUUUAUAUAACAAAAGUUUGGAAUGUGGAGGUUUUUGUAGGCUUUCUUAAAGUCUGCUCCUCUUAAAAGCAUUAGCGAAAAUCUUUGUGAGCAAAUUUUCCUGGUGUGAUAAUUAUCUACGCCAUGGCUUGAUCACAUUAAAGAACUUUUUUUGCUUCUAAUCGUCGUCAUUUGACGACAACUAUUGAACAAUUUGACCUCAAAUCAGGUAGGACUACCCGCUGAACUUAAGCAUAUCAAUAAGCGGAGGAAAAGAAACUAACCAGGAUUCCCCUAGUAACUGCAGUGAAGCGGGAAAAGCUCAAAUUUAAAAUCUGGCGGUCCUUUGGCUGUC